rnacentral:rRNA from 1 species
UAGUCCACGCCGUAAACGAUGAUUACUAGUUGGUGGGUUGCUUGCCGACUCACUGACGAAGCUAACGCAUUAAGUAAUCCGCCUGGGGAGUACGGCCGCAAGGUUAAAACUCAAAGAAAUUGACGGGGGCCCGCACAAGCGGUGGAGUAUGUGGUUUAAUUCGAUGCAACGCGAAGAACCUUACCUGGUCUUGACAUCCCGCGCAAUCCUGUGAAAGCAGGAGUUCCUUCGGGACGCGGUGACAGGUGCUGCAUGGCUGUCGUCAGCUCGUGUCGUGAGAUGUUGGGUUAAGUCCCGCAACGAGCGCAACCCUUGCCGUUAGUUGCCAGCAUGUAAAGAUGGGAACUCUAACAAGACUGCCGGUGCAAACCGUGAGGAAGGUGGGGAUGACGUCAAAUCAUCACGGCCCUUACGUCCUGGGCUACACACGUGCUACAAUGGUAGGUACAGAGAGCAGCCACUACGCGAGUAGGAGCGAAUCUAUAAAACCUAUCACAGUUCGGAUCGG